UUCAGCUAAGAACUGUGUGAUGUCCAGAAAGCAGAGGCAGAUGAACAAGUAGAAAGCAUCUGGGGCCAUAGGACAGAAGAGCUGGUACCUACUUUCAAGUUUAUCACUAUUGGCUGGGCAUUACUAAAAAACAAUCAACAUAUUGUCCUCAGUUUCUUCAUCUAUAAAAGCUCUACAAAGAACACAUUGUUUAUUCUUGUGUAAAAACGUCAUGUAAAGAAGCUCUCUGUCAGCCAGCCCCUGUGCAGUAGCUGAGGGUCAGCUCUUGGAGAAAGGCCCAGCCAGAGGCCUGUGCCGGGACUUCCUGCAAUCUGGAACAGUCUGGGCCACAAGGAAAGAUGGCAGCAAGCAGCACUCAACUGACUCAUUCUCCAGCUCUCCUGGGAUGUCCAGAAUUUCCCCCAGUUCCAUGGCUAGAGAAAUGUUUCAUCUACCACAGAUCACACAGCCACUUAGAUCUGGGAGUUGUGAUGACUGAAAGAGGAAUGACAAGGUUGAUGAACAAUGAAAAUUGAAAAGAACACAUAAACUGACCAAUUUAUUAGGAGCAAGGAAAAUACUUGCCUCUUUUAACAUCAAAAGAGAAAUAGAUCAUUCCUCCUUUUAAUAUCUUAUAGUGAGCCAAGGUAUUCACUUUACAAUAGGCAAAAUGGGAGGAAAUGACGUACUUGAUAAAGGACAUGGCUGCAAUAAAGCAGGGUGUGGCUGGCUCGGUGUUUCUGAUUUUGCCUAACCAUGGGGUUUUGCUGUAAGAACAUAAUUCUUUGCUACUUACCAUGCUGAACCAAAA